UGAACGCUAGCGGCAGGCUUAACACAUGCAAGUCGAGGGGCAUCGGGAGGGAAGCUUGCUUUCCUUGCCGGCGACCGGCGCACGGGUGAGUAACACGUAUGCAACCUGCCCUCUUCAGGGGGACAACCUUCCGAAAGGGAGGCUAAUCCCGCGUAUAUCGGUUUCGGGCAUCCGAGAUCGAGGAAAGAUUCAUCGGAAGAGGAUGGGCAUGCGGCGCAUUAGCUUGACGGCGGGGUAACGGCCCACCGUGGCGACGAUGCGUAGGGGUUCUGAGAGGAAGGUCCCCCACACUGGUACUGAGACACGGACCAGACUCCUACGGGAGGCAGCAGUGAGGAAUAUUGGUCAAUGGGAGAGAUCCUGAACCAGCCAAGCCGCGUGAGGGAAGACGGCCCUAUGGGUUGUAAACCUCUUUUGUCGGAGAACAAAACCCGGGACGUGUCCCGGACUGCGUGUAUCCGAAGAAAAAGCAUCGGCUAACUCCGUGCCAGCAGCCGCGGUAAUACGGAGGAUGCGAGCGUUAUCCGGAUUUAUUGGGUUUAAAGGGUGCGUAGGCGGUCCGUUAAGUCAGCGGUAAAAUUGCGGGGCUCAACCCCGUCGAGCCGUUGAAACUGGCAGACUUGAGUUGGCGAGAAGUACGCGGAAUGCGCGGUGUAGCGGUGAAAUGCAUAGAUAUCGCGCAGAACUCCGAUUGCGAAGGCAGCGUACCGGCGCCAGACUGACGCUGAGGCACGAAAGCGUGGGGAUCGAACAGGAUUAGAUACCCUGGUAGUCCACGCAGUAAACGAUGAAUGCUGGUUGUCCGGGUCGAAUGAGACCUGGGCGGCGAAGCGAAAGCGAUAAGCAUUCCACCUGGGGAGUACGCCGGCAACGGUGAAACUCAAAGGAAUUGACGGGGGCCCGCACAAGCGGAGGAACAUGUGGUUUAAUUCGAUGAUACGCGAGGAACCUUACCCGGGCUCAAACGGGAGUGGAAUGGACCAGAGACGGUUCAGCCUACGGGCCGCUUCCGAGGUGCUGCAUGGUUGUCGUCAGCUCGUGCCGUGAGGUGUCGGCUUAAGUGCCAUAACGAGCGCAACCCCCGCCGGCAGUUGCUAACGGGCAAUGCCGAGGACUCUGCCGGGACUGCCGCCGCAAGGCGUGAGGAAGGCGGGGAUGACGUCAAAUCAGCACGGCCCUUACGUCCGGGGCGACACACGUGUUACAAUGGGCGGUACAGCGGGAAGCCAGGCGGCGACGCCGAGCGGAACCCGAAAGCCGUUCUCAGUUCGGAUCGGAGUCUGCAACCCGACUCCGUGAAGCUGGAUUCGCUAGUAAUCGCGCAUCAGCCAUGGCGCGGUGAAUACGUUCCCGGGCCUUGUACACACCGCCCGUCAAGCCAUGGGAGCCGGGGGUGCUUGAAGUGCGUCGCCGCGAGGCGCGCCCUAGAGCAAAACCGGUGACUGGGGCUAAGUC
rnacentral:rRNA from 1 species